rnacentral:rRNA from 1 species
AUUGAACGCUGGCGGCAUGCCUUACACAUGCAAGUCGAACGGUAACAGGUCUUCGGACGCUGACGAGUGGCGAACGGGUGAGUAAUACAUCGGAACGUGCCCAGUCGUGGGGGAUAACUACUCGAAAGAGUAGCUAAUACCGCGUACGAUCUGAGGAUGAAAGCGGGGGACCUUCGGGCCUCGCGCGAUUGGAGCGGCCGAUGGCAGAUUAGGUAGUUGGUGGGAUAAAAGCUUACCAAGCCGACGAUCUGUAGCUGGUCUGAGAGGACGACCAGCCACACUGGGACUGAGACACGGCCCAGACUCCUACGGGAGGCAGCAGUGGGGAAUUUUGGACAAUGGGCGAAAGCCUGAUCCAGCAAUGCCGCGUGCAGGAUGAAGGCCUUCGGGUUGUAAACUGCUUUUGUACGGAACGAAAAAGCUUCUCCUAAUACGAGAGGCCCAUGACGGUAC